rnacentral:rRNA from 1 species
GACGGAGGAUGCAAGUGUUAUCCGGAAUCACUGGGCGUAAAGCGUCUGUAGGUGGUUAAUAAGUCAACUGUUAAAUCUUGAGGCUCAACCUCAAAAUCGCAGUCGAAACUAUUAGGCUAGAGUAUAGUAGGGUAAAGGGAAUUUCCAGUGGAGCGGUGAAAUGCGUAGAUAUUGGAAAGACCACCAAUGGCGAAGGCACUCUACUGGGCCACAACUGACACUGAGAGACGAAAGCUAGGGGAGCAAAUGGG